CCUACGGGAGGCAGCAGUGGGGAAUAUUGGGCAAUGGGCGCAAGCCUGACCCAGCAACGCCGCGUGAAGGACGAAGGCUUUCGGGUUGUAAACUUCUUUUAUUGAGGACGAAACAAAUGACGGUACUCACUGAAUACGCCAAGGCUAACUACGUGCCAGCAGCAGCGGUAAUACGUAGGUGGCAAGCGUUAUCCGGAUUUACUGGGUGUAAAGCGCUCGUAGGCGGGAUGUCAAGUCAAGGGGGAAAUCCCCGCGCUCAAAGUGGGAACUGCCUUUGAAACUGGCAAACUGGAGUGUGUGAGAGGAUAGUGGAAUUCCAGGUGUAGGAGUGAAAUCCGUAGAUAUCUGGAGGAACAUCAGUGGCGAAGGCGACUAUCUGGCACAUAACUGACGCUGAGGAGCGAAAGCGUGGGUAGCAAACAGGAUUAGAUACCCCAGUAGUC
rnacentral:rRNA from 1 species